rnacentral:rRNA from 1 species
CCUACGGGUGGCUGCAGUGGGGAAUAUUGGACAAUGGGCGAAAGCCUGAUCCAGCCAUGCCGCGUGUGUGAAGAAGGCCUUCGGGUUGUAAAGCACUUUCAGUGGGGAAGAAAGCCUUGGGGCUAAUACCCUCGAGGAAGGACAUCACCCACAGAAGAAGCACCGGCUAACUCCGUGCCAGCAGCCGCGGUAAUACGGAGGGUGCGAGCGUUAAUCGGAAUUACUGGGCGUAAAGCGCGCGUGAGGCGGUCUGAUAAGCCGGUUGUGAAAGCCCCGGGCUCAACCUGGGAACGGCAUCCGGAACUGUCAGGAUAGAGUGCAGGAGAGGAAGGUAGAAGUCCCGGUGUAGCGGUGAAAUGCGUAGAGAUCGGGAGGAAUACCAGUGGCGAAGGCGGCCUUCUGGACUGACACUGACGCUGAGGUGCGAAAGCGUGGGUAGCAAACAGGAUUAGAUACCCUAGUAGUC